UUCUGGUUUUAAUACAUUCGUUACACUUUGGCGGAUGCGACUCCAUGGCCUGAUUUUGCCAUUUCGGCCUUAAAACUUUAUAAACAAUAAAAGUACGUUUGCUAUUUUCAUUUUUUCAAGGACGUAAGUUGUGACGGAACAGAGUUCUACAUUACCGACGUGAUUCAACCGGAAAGCGUCAUUCUAACCUCAAAAAAUACCACGUGCUGCGGCAAAAGGAAAAAUUAGGGUCAUGAACAAAACCGAGGAUUCCGAGGACGUAUUGAAUUCUACAAUGGUUCACAAGACCCCAUUCAAUACAGUUUUGAGCAACUUUCUGGCACUUCUAGCAGCCAGUCUAAUCAGCCGAACGCUGAAUUUGUCCAGGCAAUCAGGAGGCCUCAGCUCCCCACCUUCAUGAAGGAUGACCCGGACAUCUGAUUUUUUUAUCAUAGAAGCAGAAUUUGCAGCAAGCAAUAUAAGGUCAGAUCAAACUAAAUAUUCAGAAACCAAGUAGCCAUAGUUUUUGUGCUAGUGGCGGAGUCUUAUAUGUCAAUAUUUUCCCAUACGUACGCAGCGUGAGACAAUGUUACACUUGUCUACAAUUUGGACACCAAAAGAAAACAUGUAGAUAUGAAGAUAAACUAUGCUUUGUAUAUGGACUUCAAUAUAUUAUAUCAAUAUUAUAUUAUAUAAUGUUGUUAAAUAGUAUAUAAUAUCAAUAUAAUAUUGAUUUCUAUAUACUCAAAGAGGGAAUGGCGUUCCUAUUGGUUCCUGUGUGGGGAUUCGCCCUAAAGUAUGUCGCUCCGCGCAGACGCGAAUUUGAACGCGUAUGCCGAUGGCGUGGAGUGGGGACGGUGUGAAGAGUACAACGGAUCAACGGACAACGGCCAUGCGGCGGCCAUUUCGUUCAGGGCCCAAGCACAGAUGUGGGAAGUGAAACGCAUUGAGCUCUAUCCUAAGGAUCUAUCCUAGGAUAGAGCUCAAUGGUGAAACCACGUUUUUAGUUGGUGACACAAAUCCAGGCGGCUCUAGUAGGCAUCGCAUACACAUAUCUAGCGUAUCGUGGUGAUAAACGGACACUACCAAGUACUGCAGCUAAAGCACUGCUAUAUCCAGCUAUUGCUUCUGGUGAGCUACGCAUAUUUUCAAUUCCAUCCACACAACGAUCAAUCAAAGGUGUUAUUUGAUUUGGAGCCGCUACACAAAUACAGCGUAAACACCAAGAAGCUGCAAGUCGGGCUGCUUGACACGGAUGAACCAGAACAGCCAUAAUUGUGUCGAUUAAACCUGAGACAUUAUAAUGAGUAGACAGCAUCAACAUGGGAACUAGCAGCUUUUGGAUUAGUUACAAGAUCAAGUACAUGGGCAACUAAUGAACCAACAUUACGUUCAAGCCAUGAACCUCCCAGCAUUUGAACAAAUACUACAUAUGCCUGCAAAAUGUUAAUAACGUAAAUAAUUGAUCAUAAAAUUCUGUAUAAAA